ACUCAGAAAGGUACUGAUCACUU
rnacentral:miRNA from 1 species